rnacentral:rRNA from 1 species
CAAGUCGAACGCGAAAGCCUCCUUCGGGGGGCAAGUAGAGUGGCGCACGGGUGAGUAACACGUAGGUAAUCUACCUCUGGAUUGGGAAUAACCACCGGAAACGGUGGCUAAUACCGAAUAAUGCAGCGGCACCUAAUGGUGACAGUUGUUAAAGCGGGGGAUCGCAAGACCUCGCGUCUGAAGAGGAGCCUGCGGCAGAUUAGCUAGUUGGUAAGGUAAUGGCUUACCAAGGCUAUGAUCUGUAGCCGGCCUGAGAGGGCGGUCGGCCACACUGACACUGACAUACGGGUCAGACUCCUACGGGAGGCAGCAGUCGGGAAUUUUGGGCAAUGGGCGCAAGCCUGACCCAGCAACGCCGCGUGAAGGAUGAAAUCCCUCGGGAUGUAAACUUCGCAAGAACGGGAAGAAUAAGUAAGGGUUAAUAUCUCUUACGAUGACGGUACUGUUUGUAAGCUCCGGCUAACUCCGUGCCAGCAGCCGCGGUAAUACGGGGGGAGCAAGCGUUGUUCGGAUUUACUGGGCGUAAAGGGCGCGUAGGCGGCCACCGCAAGUCGAUUGUGAAAUCUCCGGGCUUAACCCGGAAAGGUCAACCGAUACUGCGGGGCUAGAGUGCAGAAGGGGCAACUGGAAUUCUCGGUGUAGCGGUGAAAUGCGUAGAUAUCGAGAGGAACACCUGCGGCGAAGGCGGGUUGCUGGCUGACACUGACGCUGAUGUGCGAAAGCUAGGG